ACCUGAGACAUUACCUGGAUAUAACCAGGUUAUAACCUGGUUAUAACCUGAAACAUUACCUGGUUAUAACCUGGUUAUAUCCUGAAACAUUAC